GUGAUGCAAAAACCUUCAAAGCAACUCCAGAACCUUUAUGUAAGUUUCUCCUAUUUCUCAACUGUUUUGUUUUUGUUUUUGUUUUUGUUUUUUUUGUUUGUUUGUUUGUUUGUUUUUUGUUUUUUUAGCUUCUACCAAGUGCUGGGGUAGGGUUUAUAGGCACAUAAAAGAGGAGGGAAGGAGACAACUCACUAUUAUACUGUUCUCCUUUUCCUUUAUCAGUGUGAGGAACUGGAGGCUGAUUUCAGGAUCCCUCUAAGUAACUGAUAAUUUUUUUAUUUAGCAAAGUAUAAACUCUGCUAAUAAAAUUAACAGGUGAAAGGAAAAAUCCUAUGGUUGGAUGAAGUUGUUUACCAAAAACAAACAGAAACUUUUAAAAGGAUUUCACAGUAUGAAGAUAGUAAAAAUUGAGAACAAGAAAAAUAAUUUCAGGAAAUAAGAUCUUAUGAGUCUCUUAAGGAAAAAAGGGGAGGGGAGGGGGAUGCAGACUUACCCUCUUACUGCUUUCCAUGUAAAUGUAAUAUGUAGUAAAUGCUUGACCUGAAGCUCCCUGAAAUGUACAUCCUUCAGUCAUGUUCUUGCCAGACUUACCUGUUUGUGUUUAUAUUUUAGCUGGCACUGCAGGACCCAUAACUGGAGCCAUUGGACCCAUAAUGCAAUUUACAGCACCAAUUCGAGCUACGGGACCUAUCAAGCUAUCUCAAAAAACCAUUGUAGGAUCAACACCUCAGACAAACACCGGAUCAGUUCCACCUGCCCUCAGUGUGCCCCUGCCUCCCAUAAUGAUUUCACAGAGAACCUCAAGUAAGUUCUUUACUUAUCAAUCUGUCAAAUGUGAGACUUUUCCCAAGCACAGAUAUUCUAUUUCUAAAGGGCACAAAAGAUUGAGAUUCAUGUUUCUCAUAUUUUUUUGUUUUCACAUUACCCAAAGUCAUCCAGAUUAG
rnacentral:lncRNA from 12 species